ACUUCCUUGCAUUUGUACCGAAGGUUACAUGAACUUUUCAUCUAAAUAGGCGUACGGCCCAGGCUUCGAAAUGGUUAAGGAGAUAAGCCGCUUCGUACCACAAAAGUCCCUAACAUGGACCAUCGACUCGAGCCUAAUAUUGAGCAAAUUACGCGUGACGUCGAUCAAAAUCCAUAGCUACAAACUACCAAAUCAUUGAGAUUUGCUGCUAUACCUGCCAGACCCCCCGACGAUCCAAUCUAUGAUCUGUCGGAAGAUCUCUAGCACGACGUUUGCGCCAGACGGAACUUAUUGCCUUUGCAAGACUUUUGAGCGUGUGAAGAGGAAGUCUUCCGAAGUUUCACCGGUCUCAAUUUAAAAUGGAAGCUCGGGACGACAAUGACCACCGAAGAGUAAAAAGCAAAAGCAACGCAGGAAUGGCACUCUAGACCGAGAUAGUCCAUGCAACGCUUACGUUUGCCUGGCCUGAAGGAUUGGCUGUUCUUCCCUACAAUUAGGUGAGGUAAGCAGUAGAACUAGCGAUGGGACAAAGGAGACGACCUAGGUGAACCUAACUACCUCAGUGGUUCGUGACUAACACAAGAUGCAGAUGAAGGCAGGGGUAACACGCACUUCCGGGCGAUCCUUGGUGACCAGCCUAACCACCACGGCUAUUCAUUACUGUUGCAAAUCCACCAUUCGCUCUUCACUGACUCGUUGGGUCCUCACGCUGUUAACCAGGUCGUAUCCGAUAGAAUGCACUUGUAAUGGUGCUUCCUCGCCGAUAUCAACCCCCCUUUGUGGAAGGGGGAACGUCGACAAGGCAGCGUCAACCGCCAACAAGUAGCCAGCAGCGACAGGAUUGAAGCGAGGAAGUAAUUUGGAAUGCCCCUGUUCGCGAAUCGGCGAGUCUGUGAACGGCCGAAAAGGUCCACUGAAACUGAGCCCUGACCGCAGAUCGUAGCCACUAAACGAAACGGAAAUUCAGCAGCAUUUGCGGGUAGUCGAAGAGCUGCUGCUAACAACAAGAGGUACGACGAUGGAGAAUAGUGGAGGUAGACGAUGGACUAAUGGCAAAUAGCGGUAAUACCAGAGUUGUGAUGUGCAAACAUAAAUUAGGACUUCCGUUGAGCAUCGAUAAAAGGACGUGAAAGUCGAGAGUUUUCAUAAGUAUCCAGUAGUCGAAGCAAUACGUAUA